rnacentral:rRNA from 1 species
GAUGAACGCUGGCGGCGUGCCUAAUACAUGCAAGUCGAGCGAACAGACGAGGAGUUUGCUCCUUCGACGUUAGCGGCGGACGGGUGAGUAACACGUAGGUAACCUACCUAUAAGACUGGGAUACUUUCGGGAAACCGGAGCUACUACCGGAUAAUAUUUCGAACCGCAUGGUUCGAUAGUGAAAGAUGGCUUUGCUAUCACUUAUAGAUGGACCUGCGCCGUAUUAGCUAGUUGGUAAGGUAACGGCUUACCAAGGCAACGAUACGUAGCCGACCUGAGAGGGUGAUCGGGCACACUGGAACUGAGGCACGGUCCAGACUCCUACGGGGGGCAGCAGUAGGGAAUCUUACGCGAGGGGCGAAAGCCGGACGGAGCAAAGUCGCGGGAGUGAUGAAGGUCCUCGGAUCGGAAAACGCUGUUAGUAGGGAAGAACAAACGUGUAAGUAACUGGGCACGUAUUGACGGUACCUAAUCAGAAAGCCACGGCUAACUACGUG